rnacentral:lncRNA from 1 species
GUGAGGAGAAACAAGCCAUGAAGAGCAGCUUGCACAGGCAGAGGGAAAUGUUCAUGUGGCUUCCUGUACUUUCACAAUCUGCCUCAAAUCCCUCAAGCCCUCAAUACUCCAUCCUGUGCUUGGGAAGCAGUGAGACUGUGCGGGACACAUGACCCGCUGAGUGAUGGAGAUGUGGUCCUUCCAAAGGGAAAGGUGAUGUUCAUCCCAGGGAAUGGGUAGCUCUGGCUGUGCUGGUGAGGAGUGGGGUGGCUGAAGUGACCCAGCAAUGGUUUGCAGUUCCUGGCUGUUGGACCUGAUGGGCUCCAGAAACAGAAAAGAUUGUGACCAUGGCUUGCAAGGAGGACUUCAGUUCAACUGAGUGCAACAGAAGUACAAAGGAGGAGUAUGGCAAAACCAAAGGACGAAGGAUCUAUCCACCGAAAGUGAAAGACUGCACGAGUGUCAGAGCUUCCUUUCCUUUGUACUGCCGUGCUGACACAUAGAAGGAACAAAAGUAAGGCUGCCUUUCAACUCACUUACUGUACUUACAAGAAGUGCAGUCAUUAUGGAAAAACACACACCACAAACAUGUUCCUGUGAUAACAAUGUGAGUCUUCGCUGUAACUGGAUUCCAAAUUAUAGACGUGGAGCACUGAUAAGCAAUUUUAUAAAAUUGAUUGAGCAGAAA